UUAAAUCAUCGUCUUGCGCAAGGAGAGGAAUGGAUGGAAAGCAAGGCCAAGGAAGAAGAAAGUGCUGGGGACGGAAAAUGGGAUGGAUGGUUAUUCGAUAGCGGGCAGGAGUAAAUACCGAAAGAAGACUUCACUAAUGAUGUUCUUGGUACAGUCGCGUAUAAUUUUGUACAGUGGUCCUGGAAAGGGCGAUUUUCCUCCUCUGUUGAAUAAACAUUAUUGACUAGAUAACAAGUGACUCUGUUUAAAAAAAAACAAACAAGGGGUAGGGACACUCUGAAACUGCUUCGCCCAAAGCUUGGCUCGUACAAGGCGCUGACAACUCUCAGUAGGGAUCGUUUGUUGUUCUUGUUGGCACGAUACCUUCAUAUGCAAAUGACGAGAUCUUGAACUGGAAAUAACCAACCCCACUGACUCUUAUGUGCGUCAGUGAGUCAAUGUCGUUCAUGAAGAACUCCGGCUUGCAGCUGCGCUCCGGUCUUCCUAUGACUGUGUCGUUUUCCUGCUCCUAGUCUUCAUUCUGGACGUUAGGUUACCGGACACUUGAUGGUCUGACCAAGGGGACGGAACACAUCGAGGAAACUGGUUUUCUCACGCUAAGCCAAAUCAGUUCGGAGCAGCAAACGGGGUUGGGUUAGCUGGGUAGUCGGGUUGGGCAAGGCCGAGCCAGAUGGCCAUGCGAGUUGGGGUUGGGUCAGUUGGUUUAAAUUUGCAUAAGCGUCCGACCUUCGGCAACUGGAAUCAGGACCGCUAUAAACUGGUCAGACUGGUUCUGUUGGGUCUCAAAUCAGACAUAUGCAACAAUCGAGCCUUUCUAAAUGUCCUGCGCUGCUCUUCUCCUUUACCCCUUGGCCCGAGCAUGGUUUUCCGUAGCGCAACUCACCACACAUCCGCUCUCACAUGUGAAUAUGAAGUCUCAGUUGCUUUUGGCAAACAGUUUUCCCUUACAUUGUCUCACUUAGUGUUUCGCUUCGUACCGCCGCAGUUGAGUUUCAAAGGAGCUAUCGCAAACAUGUGUGGAGGAGGAUGAAUGACGUGCCUUAUCAACAUACGCUUGUGUUGCAGAAUAUUGAUACCUAUUGGAAGCUGGAAUAUAACUCUAAUACUCGUAGUGAAUUCUAAUUCGUGUAAAACCGAUCUGAGACCCGGGUUAUUAUAUUCAUAAAAAAUGGGAAUUAGUGCUAUGGUCGUAUUAUAACAAGAAUGUACUAGAAUGGAUACAAAGUACACAAAUAAACUUGGAUUCCGAUUGCUAUCAGUUAUUAAAAAGUUAUAUUCCAGUGAAGUCAAGGGAGAACGCUUUUAGUCGAUGGCCGAGACUAUUAUAUACUAAUUAAUCAGCUUAAGGAAGUGGGAAAUAUAUAGGGACAUGCAAGCAGCACGCAGUGCUGAAAAUUUUAACAGAUUAACUUUUAACAGAUUCCAAAAGAUCAGAUUUCAAUAAUUUUGAACGUGGGUUUGGUAAUUCUAAUUUACAAAUUUCAAAUACUUUUAUAAAUUUACUUCUUUAAGACUUUAUAGAUUUGCUCAAAAAUUUAAAUAGCAGCUCGCAUUACCCCUAAAAUAGGUGCGCACAGGUAUUACUUCCAUAGGAAUAGUCAGCAAAAUCAUGUAAACUAUAAUUGCAUUUAAUUAGACAUUUGCCUAUAUGUUUCGCAUUAUUGGCACCUAAUCAUAAAAAUGUAAUACUACGAAACAGGAAUUGAAAAAUUAUAAAAAUCAGCAUGUUUAAAGGACGUCCCAGUUAACUUAGCCAGUUAGCUCUAUAAAGAUGGGCCUUCAUUAAGCAUUGGUCACAUCCAUGAGUGCACCGCGGAAGACCGUACACAUAUGUCAACAAGUUUAUUAAAGAUUGGUCAAUAAACAAAUGCAAUAGAGAUAAUUCUCCGAGAGAAGUAUAGUUGUUCAAUGCGAGUAUAUAAAUUAAAAAGCCAACUCCUGGCUAACUACAAGGCAUGAGAUUGUCAAUAAGAUAAGGACCGUCGAAGAGAUGUAAAGCAAAACGUAGUCAGAUGAUUCACGGAGAUUAAAACAUUUGCAUGGAAGUCAAAGGUUGGCGGAUAGGAUAAGUGAUUCUUUAUAUUGUUUGGAACUACAGAAAACCCUGAAUGACCGCGAGACAAAGGGUCAAGGAAGCACCAAACGCCGCCAAAACAGUCAAGGAACUUUACACUCCUCGUCUCGGGAAGCACUUUUACACACUAUGUAACAUGAAAAAGAGCUAAGAAUUUCAAGUGAGGCUCACCUGCCUAAGCUGGCCGGGAAAAUAUGGUACAUUUAACAUUAGUGAUUAUUUGCGUGUACAUGAAGGUGAAUCAUUUGUCUGUGUAGUACCAAAGACAAUAGAAUUCUAGAGUCAUUGGUAGUACCUAUGCAUUAAUAAUGUACGUUAAGGAACAACUAUGAAGUCAUCAAUCAUUGUCCCAAAUAAUACUGUAUUAAUCCGUGGGUUUUUUAAUAUACACCGAACAGUUCAGAAGAAAACAAACUGGUAUCGGCUUAGUAUAUUUGUACCUUAUAAAAUACAGUAUUAGCAGCUGCUAUCAUACUUUCAAUGAUAGUACAAAAGCAUUUAUAGCCGAUAUUUAAGCAAAUUAAAGAAGAUAGAGGGGUCACAUCUGAGAUCCAUGGUCAUAUCUGAUAUAGCAUGAAGAGCGUGAUGGACACCGUGUCCGUCAUAAUAAGAGCUCGAGAUCUCCGAACGCAAGAUGAAGAACUGUACUGGUGGACGAAUUAAACGUUCUGAGACAGUCCACUUCGACAUUGACUAACAAGACAUGAAGAAGCUGAGGUCGAGAAGGUUGCUGUUCGGUCUUCAUAAGCUAAGGACCGUGAAUCCCGACAACUCCAUUCGUUAUCAUCAGUUCUGCGAACAGCUGCAUAGUGCAAAACCAGUACUGGCGUGGUCACUAUUUUGGUGGUGGCUAAAAUGGCCCUCUCUCCGCUCGUGUAAAAUUGAGAGCUUAAAAAAUGUAAAAAUAGAAUUGGCUUACUUGCGAUGGUAGACGAUUUUCGGGCCGAAAUCCAUUUUGAUCCAAGAAACGAAUUUACAUAUGUAUAUGGAGUUUUGCCCAAUUUUGUUGCAAAACUUCAACAGGGUACUUUUACACCAUUAAUAUUAAGUUCAUCAAUAUUUCAACUUAUAAAAGAAUAAAGUUGCGAUCUGGAAUUGUUAUUAUAGCUUUUGUAAUUUAUAAUAUACUUUCCAAAAAAAGGAAAUACUUAAAAAUAAAUAUAUUUCAUAAAAAUAAUACACACCUAUGCAAAUGCAAAUUUGAUAUCUUGAGGGCCGACGUGCGAUCAUAAGCACUUAAGAAUCGAUGUUUACUAAAAAAUGUAUACUCUAAUUUACACACGUCCAAUGAAAAUUAGUCUAAUAUAAAGUAAUUUUUGAAAUAUAUACUUUGUGAUAUUAUGUACAUAGGAUUCGGCUAUUACUAAUUAAUUACUAAAUGAUUGAAAAACAAAAUUUAUCAUGAAUAAAAUAGAUUUCAAGUCUAAGAACUAAUAAGGUUAGGGGAUAUUUUAUCAUAUGUCACUGUAUGCGUGGAAGAAAGCUGCUGGCUGUAGAGCUCUCCGCUCUCUCGCUCGUUAACAAAAAUCUAGAGCCAGCCCGAAAAAAUCGUGUGAAAAAAAUCGUAUGACCUUACGAAUCUUGUUAUUCUAGUGUCUUUGGUAAAAAUGUAUACUAGAUUCGUUGAAAAGUAUUUAAAAGGCAGAAGGAAGCGUUUCCGACCAUAUAAAGUAUAUAUACUCUUGUUCAGGAUUAAUAGCCGAAUCGAUCUAACCAUGUGCGUCUGUCCGUAUGAACGUCGAGAUCUCAGGAACUAUAAAAGCUAGAAAGUUGAGAUUCAGCAUACAGAUUCUAGAGACAAAGACGCAGCGUAAGUUUGUUGACCACGCCCACUCUAACAUCCACACCCACAAACCGUCAUCUAUUUUUCUCAUUUGUAUUAGUCUUUUAAAUUUCUAUCGAUUUGCAAAAAAGCCUUUUUGCCCCACCCACUCUAAUGUCCUAAAACCACCAAAAACUGCCACGCCCACAUUUUUUAUAAUGUUUUGGAUACUUCUUCAUAAUUUUAUUUAUUAUGAAAUUUCGUGUUCGCAUUCACACUAGCUGAGUAACGGGUAUCUGAUAAUCGGGGAACUCGACUAUUGCAUUCUCUCUCGGCUGUUGCCGGAUUUCCUUGGUGGUUUUGGUGGUAGAUAGCUUAAAAACUGGCAGUCUAUUAAGCUUAUAAACGGGUGGAUGGACAGACAGUUGGACAUACGGACCUAUCUAUAGCGACUGGGCUGGAUAUGUAAAUUUAAUUAAUUCUUUCCUUUUUAUACAACAAAACUUUUAAAUGAAUUUUAAUUUGUUCUCUUUCAUCUUACAGUUCAAGGACAACAGACGUUUGUUGACAUCACUGGUUCCCAUUUGGGUUUCUCACUGUAUAAAUUAAUUAGUCAUAUUGGAAAUUCCUUUAAUCUCAACGUACACUUGCCAUUUAAAAAGUUUAUUGGGCAGAAACAGGCGUCUUGUGAAACAAGUCAAUAUCAAAACCUACAUAUAAGACGCAGGCGAUAUCAGUGCUCAGCAGUUCUACGCAAAAAUCUAUAAAUAAGACAUAGAAGACACUGACGCCAGAUAAAAGUGCAGGUAUUGAUUUAGUAUCGAUCAAAUAAAACACUUAAGCGUACAGUAUAUUAGGAUUUUUCUCAAAGAAAUGUUAACAAAAUCGACAAAAACAAUAGAUAUCGCUAUAGUCGAGUUCCCUGCCAAGCCAAUAGAAAAUGGGACAAAAAUAAUGAGUUGAAUAAAGACUUACAAUUUUUUUAAAUA